rnacentral:rRNA from 1 species
UACGUAGGGUGCAAGCGUUGUCCGGAAUUAUUGGGCGUAAAGAGCUCGUAGGCGGUCUGUCGCGUCGGAUGUGAAAAUCCAGGGCUCAACCCUGGACCUGCAUUCGAUACGGGCAGACUAGAGUUCGGUAGGGGAGACUGGAAUUCCUGGUGUAGCGGUGAAAUGCGCAGAUAUCAGGAGGAACACCGGUGGCGAAGGCGGCCCGCUGGGCAGUGGCUGACGCUGAAGCGCGACAGCGUGGGGAGCAAACAGG